GAUGAACGCUGGCGGCGUGCCUAAUACAUGCAAGUCGAACGCAUAGCGAAAGGUUCUUGCACCUUUCAGGUGAGUGGCGAACGGGUGAGUAACACGUGGACAACCUGCCUCAAGGCUGGGGAUAACAUUUGGAAACAGAUGCUAAUACCGAAUAAAACUUAGUGUCUCAUGACACAAAGUUAAAAGGCGCUUCGGCGUCACCUAGAGAUGGAUCCGCGGUGCAUUAGUUAGUUGGUGGGGUAAAGGCCUACCAAGACAAUGAUGCAUAGCCGAGUUGAGAGACUGAUCGGCCACAUUGGGACUGAGACACGGCCCAAACUCCUACGGGAGGCUGCAGUAGGGAAUCUUCCACAAUGGGCGAAAGCCUGAUGGAGCAACGCCGCGUGUGUGAUGAAGGCUUUCGGGUCGUAAAGCACUGUUGUAUGGGAAGAACAGCUAGAAUAGGAAAUGAUUUUAGUUUGACGGUACCAUACCAGAAAGGGACGGCUAAAUACGUG
rnacentral:rRNA from 1 species